CCUACGGGAGGCUGCAGUGGGGAAUAUUGGACAAUGGGCGAAAGCCUGAUCCAGCCAUGCCGCGUGUGUGAAGAAGGCUCUAGGGUUGUAAAGCACUUUAAGCAGGGAAGAUAGUGCGUUGGAUUAAUACUCCUACGUAUGGACGGUACCUGCAGAAUAAGCACCGGCUAACUCCGUGCCAGCAGCCGCGGUAAUACGGAGGGUGCAAGCGUUAAUCGGAUUUACUGGGCGUAAAGCGUGCGUAGGUGGUUUGUUAAGUCAGUUGUGAAAUCCCCGGGCUCAACCUUGGAAUUGCAUCUGAUACUGGCAGACUAGAGAUCGGUAGAGGUUAGUGGAAUUCCAGGUGUAGCGGUGAAAUGCGUAGAUAUCUGGAGGAACAUCGAUGGCGAAGGCGACUCCCUGGCCAAAGACUGACGCUCAUGUGCGAAAGUGUGGGUAGCGAACAGGAUUAGAUACCCUGG
rnacentral:rRNA from 1 species